UUAUGGCUCAGAUUGAACGCUGGCGGAAUGCUUUACACAUGCAAGUCGAACGGCAGCACGGGGGCAACCCUGGUGGCGAGUGGCGAACGGGUGAGUAAUACAUCGGAACGUGCCCAGUCGUGGGGGAUAACGUAGCGAAAGCUACGCUAAUACCGCAUACGAUCUACGGAUGAAAGCGGGGGAUCGCAAGACCUCGCGCGAUUGGAGCGGCCGAUGGCAGAUUAGGUAGUUGGUGGGGUAAAGGCUCACCAAGCCUGCGAUCUGUAGCUGGUCUGAGAGGACGACCAGCCACACUGGGACUGAGACACGGCCCAGACUCCUACGGGAGGCAGCAGUGGGGAAUUUUGGACAAUGGGCGCAAGCCUGAUCCAGCCAUUCCGCGUGCAGGAUGAAGGCCCUCGGGUUGUAAACUGCUUUUGUACGGAACGAAAAGGCUCUCUCUAAUACAGGGAGCUCAUGACGGUACCGUAAGAAUAAGCACCGGCUAACUACGUGCCAGCAGCCGCGGUAAUACGUAGGGUGCAAGCGUUAAUCGGAAUUACUGGGCGUAAAGCGUGCGCAGGCGGUGAUGUAAGACAGUUGUGAAAUCCCCGGGCUCAACCUGGGAACUGCAUCUGUGACUGCAUCGCUGGAGUGCGGCAGAGGGGGAUGGAAUUCCGCGUGUAGCAGUGAAAUGCGUAGAUAUGCGGAGGAACACCGAUGGCGAAGGCAAUCCCCUGGGCCUGCACUGACGCUCAUGCACGAAAGCGUGGGGAGCAAACAGGAUUAGAUACCCUGGUAGUCCACGCCCUAAACGAUGUCAACUGGUUGUUGGGUCUUCACUGACUCAGUAACGAAGCUAACGCGUGAAGUUGACCGCCUGGGGGAGUACGGCCGCAAGGGUGAAACUCAAAU
rnacentral:rRNA from 1 species